GGUUGACCUCGGAUCAGGUAGGGAUACCCGCUGAACUUAAGCAUAUCAAUAAGCGGAGGAAAAGAAACCAACAGGGAUUGCCUCAGUAACGGCGAGUGAAGCGGCAAGAGCUCAAAUUUGAAAGCUGGCCCCUUCGGGGUCCGCGUUGUAAUUUGCAGAGGAUGCUUCGGGUGCAGCCCCCGUCUAAGUGCCCUGGAACGGGCCGUCAUAGAGGGUGAGAAUCCCGUCUGGGACGGGGUGUCUGCGUCCGUGUGAAGCUCCUUCGACGAGUCGAGUUGUUUGGGAAUGCAGCUCUAAAUGGGUGGUAAAUUUCAUCUAAAGCUAAAUACUGGCCGGAGACCGAUAGCGCACAAGUAGAGUGAUCGAAAGAUGAAAAGCACUUUGAAAAGAGAGUUAAACAGCACGUGAAAUUGUUGAAAGGGAAGCGUUUGCGACCAGACUCGCCCGCGGGGUUCAGCCGGCACUCGUGCCGGUGUACUUCCCCGUGGGCGGGCCAGCGUCGGUUUGGGCGGCCGGUCAAAGGCCCUCGGAAUGUAUCACCCCUCGGGGUGUCUUAUAGCCGAGGGUGCAAUGCGGCCUGCCCGGACCGAGGAACGCGCUUCGGCUCGGACGCUGGCGUAAUGGUCGUAAAUGACC
rnacentral:rRNA from 1 species